GUAUCAUUUCCUUUAAUGAUGCAGGCACACUAUGAGGAGAAGAGCUGGCACUGUGCAUAUUUUGUGCAUGAGAAAACUUAAGCCACAGGAAAGUCAUGCUGACCAAUUGUCGGACACUCUAAUGACCAAGAAAAUUCAGCCCAGAUGCAUAUUCUUGGAGGGAGAGCUGGUCCCUGAAUCAUGAGAGUGAAUGAGCUGUCCCUGCCUCUUACCAGCUGCAGCACUCAGGAGAGAGGGCCCCGCACCUUACCUGGACAGCACAGUAGAGCUGGCUCUUGUGGAGGGGCACAGGAUCUCCAUGACACAGGGCAACAAGAGCAUAACUGGGAAGAGUC